rnacentral:rRNA from 1 species
CGCGGUAAUACGGAGGAUGCGAGCGUUAUCCGGAUUUAUAGGGUAUAAAGGGUGCGCAGGCGGACUGUUAAGUCAGCGGUAAAAUGUCGGUGCUCAACACCGGCCGGCCGUUGAAACUGGCAGCCUUGAGUGAGCGAGAAGUAUGCGGAAUGCGUGGUGUAGCGGUGAAAUGCAUAGAUAUCACGCAGAACUCCGAUUGCGAAGGCAGCAUACCGGCGCUCAACUGACGCUCAGGCACGAAAGCGUGGGUAUCGAACAGGCUUAGAUACCCUGGUAGUCCACGCAGUAAACGAUGAAUGCUCACUGUCCGGGCCGUUUAAGGCCUGGGUGGUCAAGCGAAAGCGUUAAGCAUUCCACCUGGGGAGUACGCCGGCAACGGUGAAACUCAAAGGAAUUGACGGGGGCCCGCACAAGCGGAGGAACAUGUGGUUUAAUUCGAUGAUACGCGAGGAACCUUACCCGGGCUCAAACGGAAGGGGACAGUAUGAGAAAUCAUACAUUCCUUCGGGACCGCUUCCGAGGUGCUGCAUGGUUGUCGUCAGCUCGUGCCGUGAGGUGUCGGCUUAAGUGCCAUAACGAGCGCAACCCCUAUCGACAGUUGCUAGCAGGUAAAGCUGAGGACUCUGUCGAGACUGCCGGCGCAAGCUGUGAGGAAGGCGGGGAUGACGUCAAAUCAGCACGGCCCUUACGUCCGGGGCGACACACGUGUUACAAUGGCAGGUACAGCGGGAAGCCACCCGGCGACGGGGCGCAGAACCCGAAAACCUGUCUCAGUUCGGAUUGGAGUCUGCAACCCGACUCCAUGAAGCUGGAUUCGCUAGUAAUCGCGC